rnacentral:rRNA from 1 species
CCUACGGGGGGCAGCAGUGAGGAAUAUUGGUCAAUGGGCGCGAGCCUGAACCAGCCAAGUAGCGUGAAGGAUGACUGCCCUACGGGUUGUAAACUUCUUUUAUAAAGGAAUAAAGUGAGGCACGUGUGCCUUUUUGUAUGCACUUUAUGAAUAAGGAUCGGCGAAUUCCGUGCCAGCAGCCGAGGUAAUACGGAGGGUCCGAGCGUUGUCCGGAUUUAUUGGGUUUAAAGGGAGCGUAGAUGGGUUGUUAAGUCAGUUGUGAAAGUUUGCGGCUCAACCGUAAAAUUGCAAUUGAUACUGGCAGCCUUGAGUACAGUUGAGGUAGGCGGAAUUCGUGGUGUAGCGGUGAAAUGCUUAGAUAUCACGAAGAACUCCGAUUGCGAAGGCAGCUUACUAAACGGCCACUGACAUUGAUGCUCGAAAGUGUGGGUAUCAAACAGGAUUAGAUACCCCGGUAGUC